CGCUGGCCCCUUUCCCCUUUCCGCCUCUAGCUUUGCCGGCUGCGCCGGACGGCGCUCGCUCCCGCUCCCGCUCCUGCUCCUGCCUCCGCGGCCGCCUCCGCCGGCCCCGAGCUAGCUCCUCUCCCGGCUACAGUUUUCUAGAUCGAGUCUUUUUGUUUGCUAUGCCUUAGCUGAAAAUACUCUGGUUUUUUGGGUGUUUUUUUUUUUGCUCAUUUUUUUCCUUUCGGUCCGGCACAUCGAGCUCGUUUAAGAGCUUGACAAAUUUUCCUCCUGCCUUUCCUACUAGCUUUGUAACCAGGGCGCAAGCGACCCAAUGCCUGUAUGGGCAUUUUAUUUAGAUAUAUAUGUAUAUAUCUAGCAUAUAUAUAAUUAUCUUUCUUCCUCUUUAGACCUCUGAACUCCCCUUCUCUCUUCUUCGCUCCUCUUCUAAGUUGCCUUCUGCCUUCUAACGUUACAAGAAACCUUCUCUCUUCUAAGUAGCCUCUUUUGCCAAGAAAAUCUUCCCAACCUUCGGUGUUUUUCCUACCUUCUGGAAGGCUCCUACACGUUUUCCUUCAUAAAAACCCCCUCAACUCGCCUUCGAUUUUUAAGUUAUAACCUCGGGUUUUCCUCUCUUCGGCUUUUCGCUGCAUGAAGCAGGCUCUCCGCCCGUCGGCGCUUUGGAACCGGCCGAAAACCGGGUUAAUUUUGCGCUUCCUCAUCCCGAACUGGCAUGAAGCCGAGUCCGGGACCAAAAUCGCUCUUCACGCUCCUUUUUUGCUUCUCUUCUCUUCUCUCUUCCAAUUUCCUCGCCUUUGCUUUUUUUUUUUUUUUUUUGGUUUAACUCUUCAGUUUAAAAAUCUUCAGAUUUCCUCCGCUAAAAGCAUUUAAUCGCUUUUUUUUUAAUUUUUUUUUUUUAACGAACCCUAGUUAGAUCUAAUUUUUUUUUUUAAGGUUUCAAUCUGUAAUUAAUAUUUUUUAGGUUUUUUUUUUGGCUG
rnacentral:lncRNA from 1 species